rnacentral:rRNA from 1 species
AGAGUUUGAUCAUGGCUCAGAUUGAACGCUGGCGGCAUGCCUUACACAUGCAAGUCGAACGGCAGCACGGGAGCAAUCCUGGUGGCGAGUGGCGAACGGGUGAGUAAUAUAUCGGAACGUGCCCAGUCGUGGGGGAUAACGCAGCGAAAGCUGUGCUAAUACCGCAUACGAUCUAUGGAUGAAAGCGGGGGACUCGCAAGAGCCUCGCGCGAUUGGAGCGGCCGAUAUCAGAUUAGCUAGUUGGCGGGGUAAAAGCCCACCAAGGCGACGAUCUGUAGCUGGUCUGAGAGGACGACCAGCCACACUGGAACUGAGACACGGUCCAGACUCCUACGGGAGGCAGCAGUGGGGAAUUUUGGACAAUGGGCGAAAGCCUGAUCCAGCAAUGCCGCGUGCAGGAUGAAGGCCUUCGGGUUGUAAACUGCUUUUGUACGGAACGAAACGGUCUGUCCUAAUACGAUGGGCUAAUGACGGUACCGUAAGAAUAAGCACCGGCUAACUACGUGCCAGCAGCCGCGGUAAUACGUAGGGUGCGAGCGUUAAUCGGAAUUACUGGGCGUAAAGCGUGCGCAGGCGGUUAUGUAAGACAGAUGUGAAAUCCCCGGGCUCAACCUGGGACCUGCAUUUGUGACUGCAUAGCUAGAGUACGGUAGAGGGGGAU